ensembl:lncRNA
AAUUGUACAAGUGACCAGUACAAGUCAGUUAAAUAAACCUGAUACAGUUUGUUAAUUAGUGAGUUUAGCAGCAUUAACUGUCAGACUUUUAAACUUUGAACAGAACAAAAUUAACUUACUUCCAGUCUUAAUGCCAAGCUAAGCUACAAACCUCCUGGUUCUGGUUCCAUAUUUAACACUAUAUAUAUAUAUAAAAUAAUCCAGAAUGUUUCCUAGAAUGCGAAACUCUUCCUUUAAACCCGUUGUAGUAGAAAACCAACACUGCUUGUCCUACAGUGAAGUUGCUUCUCAUUUAAUCAUCAGAUAUCAGCUGUGUGUUCAUAAAAUUUGUCAACUUGCUCCCUAUUUUACAGUAAACAGCAAAAAAAAGCAGAAUUCUGCUUCCAACCAAUCAGUAAUAUCAUAUUCCUUUUGAAAUCACGUUAACUUCCACCACGAAGCGUUCACUGUCUCGUGUAUUUCUGUGAUUGCCACUUUGCUUCCCUCCUGCAGCAUUAAAUCAUGUGGGAAAUCAAAACAGACCGAGUGAAACCGACCAUUAAAAACAAGUUUCUUUAAGGUUAUCAGUGGUUCUGUUCCCUGCGGUGAAAAACUGCUGGUUGGAUUCUGCUCUGCAACUCUUAAUAAUGAAUCUUUAGAAGUGUGAGAUGUAGCAGUUUUUAGGCAUCAAACCAUAAUAGUGAAAUUGCUUGAGAUUCAUUGGUAUAAUUAUCCAAAAAACUGGGACUGUGGUAACAUCUUAUGACUUGUGGAGCCUCAGUAGUCCUCAGCAGGAGCAGAACCUUUUCCUGAUUAGUGCCAUAAAGCAUCCAGACUCGCGGUGUUCAUGGGGAUAGUCGGAUUUGGUUACAGCAAUUACACAAAAGAGUCCAAAUCUGUUUUUAUAAUGUUAAAAUGUUGGGCAGAACCUGUUGGGCAUCCAAAUAUGAUUCCAUUGACUCAUUUCAAGCCAGACUUUGGUGGUUUUGAGUACAGCAGCAACACAGUGCCUCUGAUCCAACUCAGACACAGCUGUCUCUGGAUCUGACGUACAUCACUGAGUAAACACAACAUUGUAAAGACAAACUAACACACCUGUCCAACAUGGGUUGCAUUGUAUUUUUAAACUGUGUUGCACAUCUUCAGCUGUUUUUCUGUUUCUAUCAGUGCGAUCUUUUGGCCUUUUCUAUUGUUCUUUUUAUAAUGAAGUUGUUCUAUGUGAUGAUCAGAAGUUGUGACACAGUUCCAUUGUUUUUAAAUAUUUAAUGUCUCUGAAAUAUGGAUUAAAAUCUGUUGGAAAUAGUGA